CCAGCAGCUGCGGUAAUUCCAGCUCCAAUAGCGUAUAUUAAAGUUGUUGCAGUUAAAAAGCUCGUAGUUGGAUUUGUGGUGGUCCCUGCGGUCCAUUCUUGGUACUGUCGGGGGCUGCCAUCCUUGGGUGGAUCCUGUGUGGCAUUAGGUUGUCGUGCAGGGGAUGCCCAUCGUUUACUGUGAAAAAAUUAGAGUGUUCAAAGCAGGCUUAUGCCGUUGAAUAUAUUAGCAUGGAAUAAUGAGAUAGGACUUUGGUACUAUUUUGUUGGUUUGCGCACCGAGGUAAUGAUUAAUAGGGACAGUUGUGGGUAUUCGUAUUCCAUUGUCAGAGGUGAAAUUCUUGGAUUUCUGGAAGACGAACGAAUGCGAAAGCAUUUACCAAGGAUGUUUUCAUUAAUCAAGAACGAAAGU
rnacentral:rRNA from 1 species